UUCUGCACGUUAGUAGAAGGGGCUUUGUGGUCUUUUCCUCAGCCAAUAGGCCGUUCCACCUUCUUCCUCUUAGAAGUGCUCACAAGUGUGUUCAGGAAUUCCAGACUCAGUGUCGGAAAGAGUGACCCUCUGAGCAGGGGAGGAGCCAAGACCCGGCCAAAGAGGAACAGGAGAGAGGGCCUGAUGUCCUCCUGGGGUCAGGAAUGUGGAAGGAAGCAUGACACGGCUUUCUCACGUACUCUCUCUCCUCUUUGCAGUGGGGAAACUCUCCCUUCUUCAAGUCCUUUGUUUUCACCAGCGGGAAACUCUCGCAGUCAGUUUAAUUGAGCUUCUGACCUAAAUAAACUGUCAAAUUCAGUAACUAUUUCUCCAGGAAAAGUGCCAAACAAGUCUGAAUCUGACCUUCACUGAUAUUCUUCAUAUAUUGAAAUCACAGCCUGACUGCAGCUACCCUAUAAAGGCCACAACCAAAACACUGUCAAGAAAACACGCGCCAGGGGUACAACUUCAGAAAUCACCGAAGACGCCAGCUGCAUCUACACGUGGGACCCGAGGACACAGCGGCGGGGAGAGGGUGCAAAGCCAGACGGGGUGGGGGUAAGAAAGGUCUGCUGGAUCGAAUGGGAACCUAGGCCUCGCAGCGUAACGGAGACUGUGGCCCAAGAUCCCGGAAGGGGAAAGUUCGGGGAUUCUGAAAGGGUGGAACGAGAAGGGAAUCUCAUGAUGCUGCCCAGGCUGGAAAAGAACUGCUGUGAUCCUGCCACCUUAGUCUCCUGAGUAGCUGAGACACCUGCCCUUUCCAGACAAAUCUUUAAUGUGGAAUUUCUAGGAGCAUCUUUGGAAAGCUACACCUCUGAGAAAAUGAAAAUGAAGAGUUCUUGAGGAUACUUUUGGAUGGGCAAGCCAAGGAUUCAGGAAAAUGUGUGUGAAAGAGGUGCCUGCACAGCUCUUAUGUCCCUGGUUGUCUCCCUGUAUGGUGCCUCUAAGAUGUGAACAAUGCCUGCCUCGUGUCUGUCUUUGAAAUCUCACAUGAAUGUGCUAUUGGUGAAUUGUAUUAUGGAAUUAUUCAACUCCAGCUCUAGAUUUUAUUAUCCUAUCACAGAUUUCUCAAAUCAAAAUUCAGUUACGUCAUAAGGUCUUUCUAUAUUCUAUUUUUUGGUGUUUGAAAGAAACUGAGAAAACUGAA